UCAUGACCUGAGCUGAAGGGAGCGGCUUAACCCACUGAGCCACCCAGGCGCCCCUGUUUCUUCACUUUUUGAUACUAACUAUCCUUGGUUUUGAUUUGCAUUUCCCUGAUACUUAGUGAUGUUGAACAUCUCUUCAUGUGUCUGUUGGCCAUCUGUAAGUCUGCUUUGGAAAAUAACUGUUCAUGUCUCCUGCC